UGCAGUCGAGCGUGAAAGCCUUCGGGCUGAGUAAAGCGGCGGACGGGUGAGUAACGCGUAGGAAUCUACCUGGUAGUGGGGGACAACAUGGGGAAACUCAUGCUAAUACCGCAUACGCCCUACGGGGGAAAGCGGGGGACCUUCGGGCCUCGCGCUAUCAGAUGAGCCUGCGUUGGAUUAGCUUGUUGGUGAGGUAAAAGCUCACCAAGGCGACGAUCCAUAGCUGGUCUGAGAGGAUGAUCAGCCACACUGGGACUGAGACACGGCCCAGACUCCUACGGGAGGCAGCAGUGGGGAAUAUUGCGCAAUGGGGGAAACCCUGACGCAGCCAUGCCGCGUGUGUGAAGAAGGCCUUAGGGUUGUAAAGCACUUUCAAUUGGGAAGAAAGGUUGUACGUUAAUAGCGUGCAGCUGUGACGUUACCUUUAGAAGAAGCACCGGCUAACUCCGUGCCAGCAGCCGCGGUAAUACG
rnacentral:rRNA from 1 species